UCUUUCUCCCUUUCUCUCUUUUCUCGCUUUUUCUUUUUUUGCCUUCAACUACUCCAUUCCUACUCCAACUCGAGUUAAAUUUUCUACGUGUACUUAAUUUUUUCCAAUUUCACUCGAUUUCUUUUUUAUCUUGAGAAUUUGUCUCGUUGUCUUUCAUUCCGCCUGAAAUUCUUUCCAAAUUAUGUACCUUCUUUGCUUUCAACAUGUUAACAAGUCCGAACACUGUAUAAGCGACCAGAUUCGGAAUAAUUUACCCGUACGACGUAUAAAGCGGAGUCACGCGGAGUGACGUUAACGGUUUUGUUCAAAGUGGAAACGUGAGGAUCGAUGCGCGUCGAUUCGUUCGUACCUAUACGUAGGAUAUGCAUGUAUGUAUAUACAUACGUACAUACAUCUAUAGCGGGAUAGCCAUUAUCGCGGGACGGACGAUCGUCCAUUUUUCAUCGACAUGACGCCGAAAUGAUCGUGAAUGAGCGGAGCAAAUCAGAACGAACAUAAUGACUGCUGGGCACGGCCGUGUAAUGACUCUGCGCUUCGUCGCUUUACAUGCUCAUAACACGAACUCUAAUUUAAAUAUACGCCGGCCAAGCUGCCAGACAGCUUUUUCUUUUUUUUAUGAAUGACCCGUUUUGAAACGUACCAUUAACAUAUGGAAUUUCUCUUUGAGUUUCGGAAUCGCACAGGCAUCGCGAUCGAUUAAUUUUUCAAAAGUCUGUCACGUUCGAGAUAUAAAGAAAGCUAUUAUUUAAAACGACAACGAAGUUAGAAUUUUUUCAAGAUCUAAAAAGGACCGUUCUGCUUUGCUAAUUUCUUACUCGUAUAAAAAAAGUAGAAGUCAUCGAAGACGGAAAAGCGAGAGAAAAAAAGAGGGAAAUCUUUCGAAGUGAGUUCGUUGAUUCGUGCUCGUAUUACGCCUUUGCCAUGGAGAGGAAAUAUGCCGUCGAAACUGUCAAGUCAUAUAUUAUCGACUCCGGUAGUACGGCAAGCGUCCGGGAUACGGGUACAUCUUAAACGCAUUCAGGAAAUUGGCCGCGAUAUCGACGGCAAUUUAUCGCUAGAGAAAUACCCAAAAGUCCUGUUUUUUUCUUUUUUUUUUGUGUGCCGGAGUUACUAUCCUCGACUUCUUCUUCGUCGUUGUUGGAACACGCUUGCGUUUUGCUCGCUCGCUUGCUCACUCGUGUAUACAUGCACACUCUCACGCUCUCUUGUCGUCACCACGGUAACGCACGCGGAACCGUUUGCAACCACGAAGCAUUUGAAUAAUUCCGUCGUUUGCAGGCGGACUUACAACGAUGCCGUGCACAUCCAACCGACUCAUAGCCGCUACUUACCACGAGUAUAAGGGUGAUCUUCGGGCAGUUUUCGUACGCGUUUUACCGUGCCCUUUCUCCAAGAUGGGCCGUGAGCGCGCACGCGCGCCUAACUAUAAUGGUUCUUUGUGCGAGCUUUAUGAUUAUCGCGCGUGUACAAAAUAACGACGGACUGUAAUCUCCGAUACGACCUCCCUCCACUUUCUACCUUACUUCGAGAAAGAGAAAGAGAUAGCUCUUGAGAUCACGAGUUUACGACGAGAGUGCCUCUUUCCGACUUCAUUUUUCUUGGAGAUUACGUGGAUAUGAAGGUUGGGUAGAUUUCAUGUUAUGUGUUGGAAAUUUUCGUUUCUGUAGUAUUUCAUUUUUAUCUUGUCAUUAUUUUCCUUUUAAUCACUUAUUACAAGUCUAUUUGGAUAUUUCAUUUGAAUCGAACCAUAUAUGAUUGAUUGGAAUUUUUAAUGAUAACAAAUAGUAUUCAUUUUUAAUUUAUGUGAUCCUCUUUUUACGACGUUAAAUGUCCUUCAAUGAUUAUAUAGGCAUUAAUUUUGUUUGAAAUUGAUUAAAAUAUGAGACAUUAUGCAAAUUGACUUCAUCUUUUAUAGAUCGUAUUGAUUUAAUUCUCGCUAUUGCGAACUCUGGAAGGAACGGAAUCAAUGUGAUGACGGUUUUGCGAGACGCCCACGUUCUGUAGGAGCUCGUUCAGCGCGAUUUUGUCGAACGCAAGUCUGCCGAUACGUUUAAUCGGACUUGUUGUCACCCACAGCCGGCGGCUUUAUCGUGUUCACGAAUUUACAUUCACGCCUUGCCAUCUAAUUCUCACGUGGAAAGCGUAAGAUUUACAAGCUUUGCUAAAUCAAAGUGAACGAAUGUGGAUAUCGUACGUUCGAUUCUUUUCUCUUACGUCAUCGUGAAUGCUUUAUGAAUCCGUCCUAAAACUGUGAUAUCAGAAAGAGAAAAAGAGAGAUAAUAACUCUUCGUUGUGACAAGAGAAUGAAGACUCCUCGAAUGUGUAGGACAACACACCGAAUGACUUCACCUGCGUGGAAUUAUGAUACGGCCAUUAAUCAUAGAACCCUCACCAUGCGUGCGCACAUCCCGUGGAAAACAUUGACUCUCUAACAAAACUAUAAAUUUCCACUCGGCGUCUCUCGCUGGCAUAAAGUCCUAUGACUCGAGAUCGUCUGGUAACAUUUCAUUCGUAACAAAGACAUGUUGCUUUCAUAUCAUAAUUUUACUUUCCUUUUCUCAUCUCCCCUCUCUCUCUCUCUCUCUCUCUCUCUCUCUCUCUCUCUUCCUAUCAUCAUCGUCUCCCGUUGAUUAUUCAUAAAUCGCAGAGCUCGCAUGGAUCUUUACUCACUCCUCGAAGGUUUAAAAUUCAAAGUGGUUGUCUAAGCGUUUACGACGCUUUUUCGUUCUUAGAUAAGAAGAUAAGGGAGAUAAAAGGAAAUAGACGUAAAGAGCAUGCUUGUCCGCGCAUGCCUGCGUUAAAGAUUACAAGUCCAUAUGGUUUGAAAAUGAUAUGCAAUGUGCAUGAACGAAGGAAUCAACACUUUUCUCAUUGCACGAAUAUGCUCGAAGAGCGCCGUUCUUGAAUAUUUCUUUCUUAACGCUCUUUUCUCAACGAUUUCUCUUUCUUUCUCUCUCUCUCUCUCUCGCUCUCUCUCGCUCUCCCUCCCUUCCUCUCUGUUGAACCGAGACGUCGAGAGAGGCACACCGAGAAUAACGUUCUACCUACGCACACAACGUUCUCCCCUCCAAGGUUUUUGCGCCACUGAAUCGUAAUUUACCCAGAGCGUUUAUGGCAUUGUUGUGAAGCAGUGCUCGGCGUCGUCUUAUAAAACCAAUUUCGCGGGUAUUAUGCAAGCUGUCAGUCCCGUUGGUGAGUUAUGGCAAGCUUAGCCCGAAGCACAAACACGUUUUACCAUAUCCCAUACUCUCUCUAUUUCUAUAUCUCUCUUUCUCUUUCUUUCACUCAUUUUGUUCCUAUCUAUGUACGUAUGUAUGUACGUAUAACAUAGUCACUACGUUUAUGCAUAAACAUGUAUCUAGAUACAUGUACAUGUACAUCGAUAUAGCGCUUACGUUCCAUUUUGAAAUCAGGAUCUCAAUGAAGUAUAUUUUACUAAUAAAUCAUUGUGAUCUUAAAAAUGAUAUUUUUAUUACUGACGGAAAAAGACAUCGAUCGUUACUAUCAUUUGAACUUGUUCGAUAAUGGCUUUACGAUAAGAGAAAAAGAGAAGGGAGAGGAAAUAUUGGGAAGUGAUUGCGAUCUUUGACCAAAAUUAUUCGAGUAGACGUAUGUUCGUCAGGGACCUUUAUAGCAGAGAACGGAGAAUUCAUAAAAGGCGCGCAACGCGAGAUACCGACGGAAGAAUUCCGAUAUUGUAGGGAUCUAUCGGUCAAUAAACCGUCGCGUAGACUCUCGGAGGGAACGGGUAGGAAGCAGUAUCUGAACGUCGUGUUUAACUCCAUUGGAAUAUACGAUGCUAUAUCUGGAAUUUCGUUCCAGACCGUUAAGACACUAGAUUCCACUUUAUCGGCACUGUAAUGGUUAUAUAGCUGUUAAAGUUGCCCCUCAUACAACUUUUCCAAUCUUAUCUUCGCGUAUGGGUUCUCUCGUCGAGCGUGGCGGAAGGGGAGAAGCGGUAGGUUACGCCGUAAAGGAAGCGAAAGAGGAAAGGGAGGAGGAAGAACGGAAAGGAUUUAGUUAAAUUGGAGUACGCGCGAGGAGUAGUCGCCGUUGAGAUUUGUUCGGGCAUCAGAGAGCGCUGACCGUUGUAAAAGCUCUCGGAUAUAGGAAUGGCUGGGAUGGAGAAGACGGAGGAGAAGGUGGAUGAGGAAGUGGAUGAGGAGAUGGAGUGGGGAAAAGGUGGCAGCUUGUGUGUAAGCGGCAGGGAAAACCUCUUUCUCCUUUUUUCUAUUUGAGGUUAGGAUCGAGCGCGCGUCGGUGACCAGCUUGUCGAUACGUGCUUGGCAUCUCUAGACAGCUAUCCUGUCCUAUUCCACCAAGAGAGAACUCAAGAUUGUACGGCAUUUGCUACCGGAUCUCUGGAAUCUGCUAACUGGUACCUCUUCGCCGGACAGCUCGUUUCGGAGCGAUACGACGAUCUUUCUCCUUCUUUUCCAUCGUUCCGCAUUUUCUCCAUCCCCUUUUUAUCCGACGAUCUGCUUCUGAGAGUGCAUUCGAUGGAAACGCCGACUCGUUGAAUAUUUCAGACUUUAAAAGCUUUUCGCGGACUGUACCGUUUAGCUUGGCCGGUAGUGAGCGGUAAAGCGGAAACGAGACUUCUAUUUCUCCCUCCUCUACAUCAGAAGUACGUUAUCGUAAUGAGAAAGGGCGAUCCUAAGCGUCGCUUAUCGAUUUUCGAAGGAUAAUCUUAGGUUGGUCGGUAACCGGCUCACGGAACUUUUUCCAAACGUUUCACAUACUUUUACCUCGUUAUCUUAUCUCUCCCUGCUAACAACGUGCAAUCAUUUUCGAACCUUGACUUUUCCAUCGGCAUUUCGAAUGACUGAGCGUUCUCGUAGGAUCCAUGAAACGACAAUCAAUCGACAUCGGUGAAAACGAGCCACCUUGUGGGAUCAUUAAUCACCGUUGGUGAAUCGUCGAAAGAGAAGGAAGGACUCGAAGAAGAAGAAGCAGUAGAACUUGUGGAACUUGCUAAUGGGGAUUGAAAAAUCGGCUACGGGUGAUCGGCAUUGGAUGGGCCAAAGUUAUGUCAUAGAAUCCAUGCUUGAGACGUACGAUAAUAAGGGGUCAUAAGAGCAAGGAGGAUGAGGGUGAGAAGGAGGGCGGCGCGCGAGAAGUCGAGGGCUGACGUAGCAUCGAAGAUUUACGGUCGCGGGCCGGGGGCAUACAUCCUGUAUGAAUGGCGGGGCAGCUUGUAAUAAUUCAACUCCGCGGCCACACCUCGGCCACUUCCCGUCUGCAGUCUGGCAGGGCACGACCACCGCGCGGACUGCCGCUGCUCCGUUGUGGAAGGCUUUCCGUGCGGCGCAGAAGCACUUUUUUCGAAGGGCGUUGGAGUAUAUGGCGGACGUCGUCUCGGGAAAAGAGGGCGCCAGUUGGCGGUGAGAGAAGAAAAAAGAGAGAGGAAAAGAGGAAGAGAGAAAGAGAUAGAAGGCGCGAGUACAUCGGCCACCGACGUAAUAUCGGCAAACGACGCUACAUGCCGGCCAAAUAUAACGGUAUAACUUUGCCAAAUGAUACCAUUCCUUUAAUUCUUUGGAACGACUUGUCCGGACGUUUCCCCGACGAUAUAUUAAUAACAUCAUGUUCGCUCGCCGUUACCUUAUUAGACUUCCUUUCGAAUUAUCUUUAGGGAAUAAAAUGUAGUCAUUGUUGUUUUGCUCGAUCAUUGUAAAAAUCCGAUUAGUGUUUUGUCUUAUCUCGUGAAUAAUUAUAACUAGUGUAUUUAUUUGAAAACGAGAAAAAGAUUUGGCAAGAGAGUGUACAGUUUUCUUCAUUGCUUAACGAAUUCAUUUCUUUUUCUAUUUUCACAGGCCGCUAACAAGUAUUCUCGUUUUCAUCGAGAUAUAUCGACGUUAGUUUAUUGGAGGAUUUAUUUAAGCGCAUAGCGAUAUACCACCGAGAGAACGCCAUUCAGAUAAAAUCACUCGAUAUUGCUUCCUUACGUUGGAAUUUCUUUGACUUUCGAAUUGGAUCGAGUUAGAUAAGCAGAAAGCGGCUGAUCGAUGCCAGCGGAAUAAAGCGAAUACAGGACUGGUUCCACGAAACUGAUCGCCACUCAUCAAGGAAAUGAUCCUCGAGCCAAAGCUCUUGGCUUUUCUCCAUAAUGGACAGAUGUCCUGUCAUGUUGCCCGGCUUUUUAUUGAGAAAACGGGAAAAGACUAUUCUCGAAAUGUUAUAUUCACCCAAAUGUUUCUUGGAAACUAUCUUAUUAUUAUUGCUUUUUAAGUCAAGGAUCAUUAUUUACGACAUGCUCGUCCAUUUACGUGUAAUAUAUUUUUUUUAUUAUGUUUCCAAGCAACCAUAGUCGGUAAGAUAGUUUUAAAUUCGACAUUUUGAAAAUCCACGGUAGGUUAAAAGAACGGAAACUCGUACUUCCUCCGCGAUAACACGGAAUGAUGACUUUGGAUCGUGCCGAUCGCAACGUUGCAAAAAUAUCUCCAGGGCAUGAUUUCGCGUGAUGCCGUGUCGUUCACAUAUCAACGGCCUUUAUCGAUCACGCUUAUCGCUAUGAUUCCCGAGAGUCGAAAGUUUUUCGAUUUUCUACCGUUGCCGGCCGUAAAAGACAUCACUUUCACCUUCGACUUCUUCUUUUUUUCUUUUCGUGUAAAACGAUCCGACUUUUUCUAGAAAAUAAGUUUGAUCGUGAAGGGCGAUUUUAUAGGUCUAUGAGUUUAAAUGUUCGUAAGGGUUUAGGAAGCGGGAAGCGUCACUAUUUAUUUGAAAUAUGAAGGGACCAGAAGCGACAACGUUUAUUUGCCUUACGACCGAAAGAAAUCCCAAAAGCAUUGGAUCGACUGUUGGGUUAACAGCUUCUCUAUCUUUUUCUCUCUCUCGUCUUUUUAAAGCUAGAAUAUCUGCUCGGAGCUCAAGCAUAUGAUGGUAGUCGGCAUAAACGACAGCGACAAUCUUAGCCUAAGAAUAGUCUACGUAUGUGCGAAGUGGACCGAUAGGCAGGUGUUAUACGCUCGGUAAGAUGGAAGCGCUUGAUGUGAAUAUUAAGAUGUUCAUUAGCACGGAGUGCGCUUUCACAGUGUGAGACAUGUUAAGUAGUGCUACGUGCGGUCAAAGAAGAGGGUGGGGGAGAAAGAGAGAGAGAAGAUGUGGUAGGCGAAGCGAAGCUGAGUGUGAAGACGGAAAGAGACAGAGAGAGCAACAGAGAAGGAGGAAAAGAGAAGGAAGGAGAAGGGGUGAAGAGGUCUCGUAGAGGGAGUAGUACCAUUGACGGGUGAUGAAGGGUCAUCCCCUGCGGCGGUCUUUGUUAUAUCCAUGACGGUCGGCACGACUAUUUGCUCGAUACAAGGUACCACCAACACUGACACAUCACCAACGGCCUUCCAGCGUCGGCAUCGUCGAAAGAGAAAAAGGGUGAAAGAGACGAAAAUACAUAAUAAUCGGCUCCUGACGGACCUCUCGAUAAUGUGAACUGAAUUUCUCUUGUCCCUUCUUUUCUGUCGCCGAACUCUUCCUCUUCUUUCGCCACACCUUUGUUUCUAUACGACUCGCUUCUUUCGUUCUUCUUUAUCACUUCCCUUUUGUUUCACUGUGUUUAUCUUUACUUUCACGUACACGAUUCUCUAUCUUUUUCAUUUUCACUCGUGUAUAUCCUUCUCUUUUCCUUUCUUCAUCUUCCCUUCUCCAUGUCUCCGUCUUUCUCGUGUCCGUUUGACUACGUACCGCCUUGGAGGCAUCAUUAGCCAGCAUUGUGCCCGCAACACGCAUACGCACUCGAGGUAAGAGUUACCAUGACACCCGCUGCGCCUGUGAGAUUUGCGAUAGAGUUAAUGAUGCUGGGACCGCGGCGAUUUAACAAUAAGCCGCAUUAUUUACAGUCAGCUCUCGACUCCAUUACCACCGGUUGUCCGCCUCACCUGGUCCUCGUUUCUUCUUCCUUUCUCUCUCUCUUGCCUUCUCUUUAUUUUUCUCUCUCUCUUUCUAACGCGCUUGCUUGUGCUCCGCCUUUCCUUGCCUUCUGCAAGUUUCUUUCUCUCUCCUUCUUACUCAAAUAAAUUCUCACGUCUCUCGCAACGGCUUACAUCAUUUUCUAGCAAAUGUUCUAAGGGGUCGCAUUAAAGCUUUAUAGUCGGUUGUUGAUGCGUACAAACUUGUUUAUGCGGUGACCCACAUACAUUAUACAUGUAUGAAUAUAUCUCACAUGUGGUUAGAUGGCACAGUCGUGAAAAUUGUAAGAAAACGAGAUAUUUCUCUCGUAGACUAUGUAAAUGGGAUAGCUGAAUGUCGGUUAAUUUAGCGAAUUAAUACUUUUAUGAAUAUCUCUUAGUUGUUCACGAGUAAGAAUAUUUUCAUUAAUGAAUGCAAGCAGUAUUUCUUUUAGUAAAAGAAUCUAAAUGAUUUCAAUUUGCACCGUUAAUAAGUUGACGAAGAAUCUUUUGAGAAGAAGGGACGAAUGCAUUUUCCCGUGCAUAUAAGCAAUUGUACGAUAAUAACAUCUGGGAUUUCAAGUUCGUGUGAGAGGGGUUUAAUUUUGGGUAACGGAUAAUAGUCACCGUGGGAGGAUACUCGUUACACCUUCUGCAAAUUCCUGCUCAAAGCAGGUUACUCGACAACACACUGGGGAAAUAUAUGCCAGACAUUCAAUCAGAACACUGCUUCUAAGGACAACCUAUUAUCGUUAGUAUAAAACUUAUGUACGCAAUAUUUCAACGUUUGCAUUUUCAUGAUAUGUUGAAAAAAUGAAUCUCAACUAUCUAAACGUUUGUUUGUAGUUCGAUAAACAUUUUUCUUUGAUAUUCAAAUUAGCUUAUAUUUCAAGUUAGCUUAUAUUUCAUCGCGCGCAUUUCAUCGUUGAUUCUAGUAUAAUAUUCUAAGCAAAUCAGCCAACUGAUUCAUUAUCAUCCAACAACGCUUCCAAGAAACGUUUAGAUGUAAAUUCUGACUCAUACCACGUUUUAUCUCCUUUGUCUUCGUAGAUUAUUCUUCAAGCUUUUCUAACGCUAAUAAUAACUGUGAUCCAGCCACGAUGAGUUGUCAUAUAAAGAGACUAAAAGGUAUUUUUGAAGAUGUCUUGAGAUAGGAAAAAAAGAACAAAAGAAGCGUAUUUGUCAUGACGAAGGACCAUUGCGAAAUUAAAAUACAACCAUUUGCCUGCAUCGAAUUCAAUUUGGUAAAUACGUCGUCGGUGCCCUUCUCCAUUAAUGAAUUCCUGAUUUAUCAUCCAUUAAGGUGUCAGGGCGUGCUCGGCUUUCGCUGCUCGGUUCGCGCCGUCGGAAAUUUAUGUGGAUAGGUGUGAUUAAUGCGAUGUUCGCGGAAACACACGGACAUCUGUGUUAAUGGUGACGGAUGGCCACCCUAAUGGUGUCAGCCAGCGACAGGCGUCCUCAUCUAGUUCUUCUCGGUCACCCGCGCGCUGGACUCGCUAGUGCUGGCUACCGUACUAGCUCCGUUCGUCCGUCUCUCUCCCCAAUCUAUCUGUCUGUCUGUCUGUCUGUCUGUCUGUCUGUCUGUCUGUCUGACUGACUGUCUGCGUCUCUCUCUCUCUCUCUCUCUCUCUCUCUCUCUCUUUCUCUCUUGUUCUCGCUCUCUCGUUAGAAUCUGCUUGAGUAUGCGUACACCGCAAAUCAUUUGGUACGAUACGACUGAUUUCAUGCGAUUGUGCGUUUCAUUGGCCUUGUCUCGAUAUAAUGCAGUUACACUGUCGCCUGGUACGGCACAUUUCAAGCUCUCCAGAUCGUUUGUUUUACGGAUCGAAGAGAUCAUAUACCAUAAAAGAACGGUGUUCUUCCUUAACCUCAUUUAUUCGUUGAGUUUUAAUUAAUAUUUAACGUCAGAGCGUCGUCGUAAAGAUCUCUUAGCGAUUAGGAACUUGUAAAAAGGAAAAGCAGGGUCGAUUUCGUAUCGAUAAAACGUAUAAAUAAAGUGGUAGUAGUAGAAGUAGUAGGCAUUUAAAGCCGCAAGGGAGCAGUCUUCAAUAGCGAAGCAUUAAAUACUUCGUUUUGCAAUAGCAACCGGUUCGAUACAUACGGAAUGAUCGCGUACUUACAGAGAGAAUCAUAGAAGAGUAGGAAAAUUAAGAAGAAAUGUAAGAAAAAAGAGACAAGCACCGUAGGUAGUAAAACUAGCGCAUGAUAAUUCUUUGAAUGAGUAUCGCGUAAAUUAUUAUCGUCGCGAGAAGUUUCGUACGCCUUAAUAAAUCCGUACGCGAUUCGAUCGAAGAUAAUUCGCGAUGUCUUUUCCCUUUGGCGAUUUAACUCCCGCCGAUAUCUCUCACUUAUCGUCGAUUCGUAAUUAAAUUACUAGCCGCAUCCUGAACAACUCUCACAAGUAUGCGAAUGCGUAUACGCCACACGUAUAUUAUACAUGUAUAUGUAUGUGGGUAGAAAUGAUAUCGCACGCACAUCGCUAUCGAUGACAGAUUCCAAUCGCGAUUCAUCCUCCUUUUGCAUCUCAGAAACUUACGUAACGCUUUCGCUCGGUCGAAGGGAUUGGCUGUAUCGACGGUUCGCCGCUGCAAAACGAAUUAUCAUAACUCGUUCGAACAACGUUGCUUAUCCGCGGCGAUUUAAUUUAACGAGCAUUCCAUGCCGCGCUGCCUCUCGCAAGACGGCCCGUACCACCGGCGUUUAUCGAAGAUUUGCGAAAUUUACGAUGCGUGCGUCCGCGUAGGACAUUUAAUGUAGAAACCCGUAGCAAACGGGUUAUCCUUUAUCUUUAUCUUGGACCAGCUUACGUCAAGGAAAGACAGAGAGAAAGAGAGAGAGAGAGAGAGAGAGAGAGAGAGAGAGAGAGAGAGAAAGUGAGAGACUGAAAGAAAAAGAGAGAUAGAGAAAGAGAGAGGCAUCUAAAUCAUACGUCCUUUUAAAAACGGAAACUCUCGCGAACUAACACGAAGGAUUAUUUUCCAGCGUGAGAUAGGCGAUUAUGAACGAGCUAGGCGAAAAACUAUCUCGAUUCCAGGGCGGCCAUCGAAUGUGGGAAGAGAGAAGAAAAGCAACGGAACGCAUCGGCUAGGUAGACAGGGAGGCAGGCAGGCAGGCAGGCAGGCAGGCAAGCAAGUAAGCAAGCAAGCAAGCAAGCAAGCAAGCAACCAGCAGACAGGAGGGCAAGCAGGAGGGCAGGCAGGUAGGCAGGCGAGCAGGCAGGCAGGCAGAUAUUGAGCUCUAUAUUUCCAUAAGCUGAUAUUUACGCGGCAAUAUACGCGGCCGUGCCCGCUACUUUAUGGGCCUCGUAAAUAUAGCGGGCCGCCGGGAAUUGGCUGGCAAGGCGGCCACGGUCUCUCUCUCUUUCUCUCUGCCCCUUCUCUUUUUCGUUCUCUUUCUCUCUCGUCUCAACCCCCACCUAUUCCUUCUUCAUCUGUCUCUUUCUCUUUCGCUAGGUGGAGAACGUUCGCGCGUGCUCUUGACUCUCUUCCUCUUUAUAACUUCCCUUCAUUUCUCUUUCUCUUUUUCUCUCUUUCCCUCUCUCUCUGUUCGGCCUCUGCAUGGCGUAGCCUGCCUGUUUUGCCUGCCCUCAUCCGGCCCAAAGACAUAAAUCGCCGCCAAUUGUAAAUAAUACGCGACGUAUGCUGAUCUCCGUUUCUACGUACCGCUAUAUAUGUAUGAGUA